rnacentral:rRNA from 1 species
GACAGUCGAGCGGCAGCACGGGUACUUGUACCUGGUGGCGAGCGGCGGACGGGUGAGUAAUGCCUAGGAAUCUGCCUGGUAGUGGGGGAUAACGCUCGGAAACGGACGCUAAUACCGCAUACGUCCUACGGGAGAAAGCAGGGGACCUUCGGGCCUUGCGCUAUCAGAUGAGCCUAGGUCGGAUUAGCUAGUUGGUGAGGUAAUGGCUCACCAAGGCGACGAUCCGUAACUGGUCUGAGAGGAUGAUCAGUCACACUGGAACUGAGACACGGUCCAGACUCCUACGGGAGGCAGCAGUGGGGAAUAUUGGACAAUGGGCGAAAGCCUGAUCCAGCCAUGCCGCGUGUGUGAAGAAGGUCUUCGGAUUGUAAAGCACUUUAAGUUGGGAGGAAGGGCAUUUACCUAAUACGUAAGUGUUUUGACGUUACCGACAGAAUAAGCACCGGCUAACUCUGUGCCAGCAGCCGCGGUAAUACAGAGGGUGCAAGCGUUAAUCGGAAUUACUGGGCGUAAAGCGCGCGUACGUGGUUUGGUAAGUUGGAUGAGAAAUCCCCGGGCUCAACCUGCGG